AAGGCCAGAGGAGGAAAAAGGAGCUCCGUGCUGAGAUCCCUGCCUGGCCUCGGUGGCGGCUGUAUAAGCACCAUCACUAUGACGGGCAAAACUUGAUUAUCGCAGGAAGGGAAGCCUGCUAGGAGAGGCCUGGCCUCGAGGGGAGCGUGCCAGCCGUGGUGGCCCUCUCCGGGUAGGCAGGAGGAGGAGCUGACCUCAGCCGCCCCUACUUCCAUCUCCCAGGCAAGCCUGCUCCCCUUCACUGCUCCCGAGCUACCUCUGGAGGCUUCUACAAGGAACUUGCAGCCGACACUGAAGUCAUUGUGGCCCUUGGACAGGUCUUCUGACCUCUGUGUCUUGACAUCACAUCUGUAGGAUGGGCUCACUCACUACACUGACUGCUUCCCAGACCCCAAAUACUGGUUACUGUGGCAUUUGGUGCCAUUCCUGGCAUACAUAUGGAAAAGUGGCCCUACAGCCGGCACCUCUCUCCCCGCCAGAGAGGCCUGAGAGAGGAAGGGAAGCGCCCUCCCCCUCCACCACUGCCUUGCCCUGCCCAGGAACAGGCCUACAAGACAGACCAGUGCCCAGCUGGGACCUCACAAGGAAGGCGGCUCCCGAACAGGGACAGAAGAUUCCCUCCCCUCCGCGUCUCAAGCAUCUGCUCUAAGGAAAACUGCUGACGAGAGCCUGGCCAGCCCCAAGGCCCUGCCAGCUGGGCUGGAGGCAGCUGUGAUAAAUGGGUCUCAGGAGGUGUUCUGAGAUCCGCUGCUGCUGGGGAUGGUGAAGCCGCCCUGCCUCUGACCCCUGGAGAAAGGGCAGCCGGUCUGCCCCAGGCCAGGCCACUGUGGGGAGCUGACUUUUCACAGCCCGAUAAACAUGGGAGGAGGACUGAGGCUCUGUGGAGCUUACGGAGCAGAGGUUGGGGGUGCGAGAGGAGAGUUCAGCCCCACCUUCAGGGCCCAGAGCACAGCUGUGGCCUGGCCACAAAUGCCAGGAAUGCUGUGGCCCCAACCCUAGAGAGCACACAUCUAGUCAUGGGUUCUUCUCUUGACCUCUGAGAUCAAUGCGCUGCCCUUGAUGUCACCCUGGACAAAAUACAGCACAUCUUUUUAAAAAGUUACUACAUUUGUUAGUAUUUAGUGUGUGUGUCUGUGUGUGUGUCUGUCUGUGUGUGUGUGUCUGUGUGUGUGUCUAUGUGUG